rnacentral:lncRNA from 1 species
CGGGAGCUGGAGGGUUGAGGAGUGGAGAAGAGAAGAGAAGAUGGACCAGAGCAGACGGCUAGUCUGAGCUAGCGGUAAAUAACUUUACAAUUACACUGUUAUUAUAUAUAUCUAGGCUAUAAGACGAGAUUUUAACGGAUUUAAGUUGUCGAACAGAUAACUUAAAACAUCAGUGACUGUGUUCUGGGACAGUUUAAUGAGUUUAAAGAACGUGAGUAGCCUGCCUCUUGACGCCUAGCCUGGGCGCCAUAUUAGCUCGUAGUGCUCGAGCCAGAGGCAGUCACCAUCGUCCUCGGUGCACACGGGAUGUUUAAAACUUUGCUGAGUUGCCGAGACAGGAGGAUUCCUUUACCUUUCGUUUGGAUAAGACGGAUGGAGAGAAAGCAGUGACGCAAGCGCGAACAGGUCGACACAAGGAGCGGGACUCUCCACUCUCCCAAUUUUCCAUUGCCUCAAGGGAGCGGGUCCUCUUCCACAGAGUCUGCCAUGUUGCACCGCCAUGUUUCUACAGUAGCCCUGAACGGACAAACCACUGGCUUGAGGUAGGGCUUUUCACAUUUUUAUGGAAUUUGAUGGCCGCAGUAGGUACUUGCACACGCUUGUAAAGGAAGGGGUAUUCAGCUGGUU